GACGUAGGGCGCGAGCGUUGUCCGGAUUUAUUGGGCGUAAAGAGCUCGUAGGCGGCUUGUCGCGUCGAAUGUGGAAACUCGGGGCUCAACCCCGCGCUUGCAUUCGAUACGGGCAGGCUCGAGUUCGGUAGGGGAGACUGGAAUUCCUGGUGUAGCGGUGAAAUGCGCAGAUAUCAGGAGGAACACCGGUGGCGAAGGCGGGUCUCUGGGCCGAUACUGACGCUGAGGAGCGAAAGCGUGGGGAGCGAACAGG
rnacentral:rRNA from 1 species